CAAUGGCGUAAACAAAGGGAAGCGAACACGUGAGUGCAAGCGAAUCCCAAAAAUAACGUCUCAGUUCGGAUUGUAGUCUGCAACUCGACUACAUGAAGCUGGAAUCGCUAGUAAUCGCGAAUCAGAAUGUCGCGGUGAAUACGUUCCCGGGUCUUGUACACACCGCCCGUCACACCAUGGGAGUCAGUAACGCCCGAAGCCGGUGACCUAACCGAAAGGGAGGAGCCGUCGAAGGUGGGACCGAUAACUGGGGUGAAGUCGUAACAAGGUAGC
rnacentral:rRNA from 1 species